UACGUAGGCAGCAAGCGUUGUUCGGAGUUACUGGGCGUAAAGAGUGCGUAGGCGGUUCUCUAAGUUCGGUGUGAAAUCUCCCGGCUUAACUGGGAGGGUGCGCCGGAAACUGGGGAGCUUGAGUGUGGGAGAGGAAAGCGGAAUUCCUGGUGUAGCGGUGAAAUGCGUAGAUAUCAGGAGGAACACCGGCGGUGUAGACGGCUUUCUGGACCACGACUGACGCUGAGGCACGAAAGCGUGGGGAGCAAACAGG
rnacentral:rRNA from 1 species